rnacentral:rRNA from 1 species
AGAGUUUGAUCMUGGCUCAGAACAAACGCUGGCGGCGUGCCUAACACAUGCAAGUCGUACGAGAAAGGGUCCUUCGGGRCCUGAGUAAAGUGGCGCACGGGUGAGUAACGCGUGGAUAAUCURCCCCUCAGUUGGGAAUAACUCAUCGAAAGGUGGGCUAAUACCGAAUAAURCUGUGAGACCUUGGUCGAUCAGYCAAAGAGAGCCUCUGCUUGCAAGCCCUCGCUGAAGGAUGAGUCCGCGUACCAUUAGCUAGUUGGUAGGGUAACGGCCUACCAAGGCGACGAUSGKUAGCUGGUCUGAGAGGAUGAUCAGCCACACUGGAACUGAGACACGGUCCAGACUCCUACGGGAGGCAGCAGUGGGGAAUAUUGGACAAUGGGCGCAAGCCUGAUCCAGCCAUGCCGCGUGUGUGAAGAAGGCCUUCGGGUUGUAAAGCACUUUUGUUCGGGAAGAAAAGCAYKSGGUUAAUACCYKSGUGYUCUGACGGUACCGAAAGAAUAAGCACCGGCUAACUUCGUGCCAGCCGCCGCGGUAAUA